rnacentral:rRNA from 1 species
GAUGAACGCUGGCGGCGUGCCUAAUACAUGCCAGUCGAGCGAACAGACGAGGAGCUUGCUCCUUUGACGUUAGCGGCGGACGGGUGAGUAACACGUAAGUAACCUACCUAUAAGACUGGGAUAACUUCGGGAAACCGGAGCUAAUACCGGAUAAUAUUUCGAACCGCAUGGUUCGAUAGUGAAAGAUGGCUUUGCUAUCACUUAUAGAUGGACCUGCGCCGUAUUAGCUAGUUGGUAAGGUAACGGCUUACCAAGGCAACGAUACGUAGCCGACCUGAUAGGGUGAUAGGCCACACUAGAACUGAGACAGGGUCAAGACUACUACGGGAGGCAGCAGUAGGGAAGCUGCCGCAAUGGGCGAAAGCCUGACGGAGCAACGCCGAGUGAGUGAUGAAGGUCUUCGGAUCGUAAAACUCUGUUAUUAGGGAAGAACAAACGUCUACGUAAAUGUGCACGUCUUGACGGUACCUAAUCAGAAAGCCACGGCUAACUACGUG